rnacentral:tRNA from 1 species
GCCGGGAUGGUGUAAUUGGUAGCCACGCAGGACUUAAAAUUCUGUGGUCGUAAGACCGUGAGGGUUCGAUUCCCUCUCCCGGCA